AUUGAACGCUGGCGGCAGGCUUAACACAUGCAAGUCGAGCGGGGUGAUGGUGCUUGCACUAUCACUUAGCGGCGGACGGGUGAGUAAUGCUUAGGAAUCUGCCUAUUAGUGGGGGACAACAUCUCGAAAGGGAUGCUAAUACCGCAUACGUCCUACAGGAGAAAGCAGGGGAUCACUUGUGACCUUGCGCUAGUAGAUAAGCCUAAGUCGGAUUAGCUAGUUGGUGGGGUAAAGGCCUACCAAGGCGACGAUCUGUAGCGGGUCUGAGAGGGUGAUCCGCCACACUGGGACUGAGACACGGCCCAGACUCCUACGGGAGGCAGCAGUGGGGAAUAUUGGACAAUGGGGGGAACCCUGAUCCAGCCAUGCCGCGUGUGUGAAGAAGGCCUUAUGGUUGUAAAGCACUUUAAGCGAGGAGGAGGCUACUUUAGUUAAUACCUAGAGAUAGUGGACGUUACUCGCAGAAUAAGCACCGGCUAACUCUGUGCCAGCCGCCGCAGUAA
rnacentral:rRNA from 1 species